rnacentral:misc_RNA from 1 species
AAACAGCCCAAUAAGGCUGUUUCAGACUAUAGCCAAACCCCAUAUCCCUGUACCAAUAGGAUGAGAAACGUUGCAAGGGAUUUACUAAAUAUCCUAUUUCUGCGAGCGAUAGCGAGCUUAUUAAGGCUACUUUCGCUGUGCUGAAAGUGUCUAAAAUCCCUUUAAUAGCAAGAUUUUAGACACUCGGAACUGGCGAGACCUUAGGCUCGACAGUUAGGUAUGGAAUUCUUCUAAGAAGUCGCUACCGUCCGACAGCACCUAAGGAAAGUAGUAAAAAGUGACUUUUUCUUCAAAUUGAAACAGCCCAAUAAGGCUGUUUUU